rnacentral:rRNA from 1 species
AAUCUUGGACAAUGGGGGAAACCCUGAUCCAGCCAUCCCGCGAGUAUGAUGAAGACCUUCGGGUUGCAAAGUACUUUUGGCAGAGAAGAAAAGGUAUCCCCUAAUACGGGAUACUCCUGACGGCAUCUGCAGAAUAAGCACCGGCUAACUACGUGCCAGCAGCCGCGGUAAUACGUAUGGUCCAAGAGUUAAUCGGAAUUCCUGGGCGUAAAGCGUGUGUAGGCGGUUCGGAAAGAAAUAUGUGCAAUCCCAGGGCUCAACCUUGGAACUGCAUUUUUAACUGCCGAGCUAGAGUAUGUCAGAGGGGGGUAGAAUUCCACGUGUAGCAGUGAAAUGCGUAGAUAUGUGGAGGAAUACCGAUGGCGAAGGCAGCCCCCUGGGAUAAUACUGACGCUCAGACACGAAAGCGUGGGGAGCAAACAGG